rnacentral:rRNA from 1 species
UACGGAGGGUGCAAGCGUUAUCCGGAUUCACUGGGUUUAAAGGGUGCGUAGGUGGGAAGGUAAGUCAGUGGUGAAAUCCCCGAGCUUAACUUGGGAACUGCCAUUGAUACUAUCUUUCUUGAAUACCUUGGAGGUGAGCGGAAUAUGUCAUGUAGCGGUGAAAAUGCUUAGAUAUGACAUAGAACACCAAUUGCGAAGGCAGCUCACUACACGGUCAUUGACACUGAGGCACGAAAGCGUGGGGAUCAAACAGG